CUGCCCUUGGGUCCGGCAUAACCCCGGGAAACUGGGGAUAAUUCCGGAUAACGCACAUAUGCUGGAAUGCUUUAUGCGUCAAAUGGAUUCGUCUGCCCAAGGAUGGGUCUGCGGCCUAUCAGGUAGUAGUGGGUGUAAUGUACCUACUAGCCGACGACGGGUACGGGUUGUGAGAGCAAGAGCCCGGAGAUGGAUUCUGAGACAUGAAUCCAGGCCCUACGGGGCGCAGCAGGCGCGAAAACUUUACAAUGCGGGAAACCGUGAUAAGGGGACACCGAGUGCCAGCAUCAUAUGCUGGCUGUCCGGGUGUGUAAAAUACACCUGUUAGCAAGGGCCGGGCAAGACCGGUGCCAGCCGCCGCGGUAACACCGGCGGCCCGAGUGGUGAUCGUGAUUAUUGGGUCUAAAGGGUCCGUAGCCGGUUUGGUCAGUCCUCCGGGAAAUCUGACGGCUUAACCGUUAGGCUUUCGGAGGAUACUGCCAGGCUUGGAACCGGGAGAGGUAAGAGGUACUACAGGGGUAGGAGUGAAAUCUUGUAAUCCCUGUGGGACCACCUGUGGCGAA
rnacentral:rRNA from 1 species